UACGUAGGUGGCAAGCGUUGUCCGGAUUUACUGGGCGUAAAGGGUGCGUAGGCGGAUGUUUAAGUGGGAUGUGAAAUACCCGAGCUCAACUUGGGUGCUGCAUUCCAAACUGAAUAUCUAGAGUGCAGGAGAGGAGAGUGGAAUUCCUAGUGUAGCGGUGAAAUGCGUAGAGAUUAGGAAGAACACCAGUGGCGAAGGCGACUCUCUGGACUGUAACUGACGCUGAGGCACGAAAGCGUGGGGAGCAAACAGG
rnacentral:rRNA from 1 species